rnacentral:tRNA from 1 species
CCGGUGGUGGUCGAGUGGUUUAGGACGUUUGAUUACCAUCUCAGAAGUGGGAGUUCGAAUCUCCCCUAAAACUGGU